rnacentral:rRNA from 1 species
GACGAACGCUGGCGGCGUGCCUAAUACAUGCAAGUCGGGCGGACCGAACGAGGGCUUGCUCUUGUUUGGUCAGCGGCGGACGGGUGAGUAACACGUGGGCAACCUGCCCGCAAGACCGGGAUAACUCCGGGAAACCGGAGCUAAUACCGGAUAACACCGAAGACCGCAUGGUCUUCGGUUGAAAGGCGGCCUUUGGGCUGUCACUUGCGGAUGGGCCCGCGGCGCAUUAGCUAGUUGGUGAGGUAACGGCUCACCAAGGCGACGAUGCGUAGCCGGCCUGACAGGGUGACCGGCCACACUGGGACUGAGACACGGCCCAGACUCCUACGGGAGGCAGCAGUAGGGAAUCUUCCGCGAUGGGCGAAAGCCUGACGGAGCGACGCCGCGUGAGCGAAGAAGGCCUUCGGGUCGUAAAGCUCUGUUGUGAGGGACGAAGGAGCGCCGUUCGAAGAGGGCGGCGCAGUGACGGUACCUCACGAGAAAGCCCCGGCUAACUACGUG